CCUACGGGUGGCUGCAGUGGGGAAUUUUGGACAAUGGGCGCAAGCCUGAUCCAGCCAUGCCGCGUGCAGGAUGAAGGCCUUCGGGUUGUAAACUGCUUUUGUACGGAACGAAAAGACUCCUUCUAAUAAAGGGGGUCCAUGACGGUACCGUAAGAAUAAGCACCGGCUAACUACGUGCCAGCAGCCGCGGUAAUACGUAGGGUGCGAGCGUUAAUCGGAAUUACUGGGCGUAAAGCGUGCGCAGGCGGUUAUGUAAGACAGAUGUGAAAUCCCCGGGCUCAACCUGGGAACUGCAUUUGUGACUGCAUAGCUAGAGUACGGCAGAGGGGGAUGGAAUUCCGCGUGUAGCAGUGAAAUGCGUAGAUAUGCGGAGGAACACCGAUGGCGAAGGCAAUCCCCUGGGCCUGUACUGACGCUCAUGCACGAAAGCGUGGGGAGCAAACAGGAUUAGAUACCCAAGUAGUC
rnacentral:rRNA from 1 species